rnacentral:rRNA from 1 species
CCUACGGGAGGCAGCAGUGAGGAAUAUUGGUCAAUGGACGAGAGUCUGAACCAGCCAAGUAGCGUGAAGGAUGACUGCCCUAUGGGUUGUAAACUUCUUUUAUAUGGGAAUAAAAUGUUCCACGUGUGGGAUUUUGUAUGUACCAUAUGAAUAAGGAUCGGCUAACUCCGUGCCAGCAGCCGCGGUAAUACGGAGGAUCCGAGCGUUAUCCGGAUUUAUUGGGGUUAAAGGGAGCGUAGGUGGAUUGUUAAGUCAGUUGUGAAAGUUUGCGGCUCAACCGUAAAAUUGCAGUUGAAACUGGCAGUCUUGAGUACAGGAGAGGUGGGCGGAAUGCGUGGUGUAGCGGUGAAAUGCUUAGAUAUCACGAAGAACUCCGAUUGCGAAGGCAGUUCACUGGACUGCAACUGACACUGAGGCUCGAAAGUGUGGGUAUCAAACAGGAUUAGAUACCCGGGUAGUC